UCCCUGGUCAGAGAACUAAGAUCCCACAUGCCACGCAGCCAAAAAAACUAAACGAACAAAAAAAGAGAAAAAGAAACUGGGGCUUAGAUAAGUUAAUUAUCUUGUCCCUGGUCCCUCAGGACUGAACCUAGGUCUGAUCCACAUGUUUCCCCCUACACUGCACUGCGGUUUGUCUAGGAUUCCUAAAGCAUGUCCUGCUGGAGUCUACAAUCAUUUAAAAGAAAAUCUUUCUGCAGUCAUUUUUCCUGUAGGUUCAUCUGGAUACGUCGGUCUACCCCAGGUCAAACCAUGAAUGAGACUCAUGCCAAUGCCCUUAAGGUUGAGGUGGGUUCCCUCAGAAUGCCCUAGGCCCAGGUUUUCCCUUCCAUCUAAUUUGAUGUUGAACUAGGUUUCCCUCAUGUUUUUCAGGUGGUUCCCGAGGCAAGUUUUAUCCUCCUAAACCAGCUUCCCCCCAUCUGAGUGAGAACACAAAUAAGCUCCUUCAAUUGAAUAACGAGGCGUCAGGCUAGCCACCUGGUGUCUAAAAUAUGUACAUCGCUUAAAGUAAGAAUGUGGGAAUGUUGCCGGCAAUCUCCAUCUCAAAUUAUUCUACCCCCCUCCUAGCAAAAGUAUGCUGAGAUGAUUGUUGUUUAGUAUUUCCCAAACUGGGUUGUAUGAAGCAUUAAGAGUCCUGGGAAAUGUUAUUAGAAAGUCCUUGAAAAAGGGGGUUCCCUGGUUAACUAACUUUGGGAAGUUCUGUGUAUGAUUGCCCUAAGUUACAAUGCAUACUAGAACACUAAACUCUAUGAGAGAUCUAAUAUUAAACCCAUUUGACUUCUUUUAACCCACUAUGUUCCAAACACUGGACCAAGGAAACCUUUUUGCAUAGAUCACCUAAUAACAAAUCGUCGGACCCCAGUUUUCCAUGGAACACUCUUUCUUCCCCACUCAGGUGAUGGAGUUCAUUUUCGUGAUCUGAGAAAGAUGUAAAUGAAGACAGUUUUCAAGGCAAAAGCCUCAAACUCCAAAGUAGAAAACAGAGACCAUUCCAUGUAUUUUAAGUGGAGGGAACUUAAAACGGGGAAUUGAUUACACAUGUGAUGGCAGAGGGGCACAACCAACUGGGGCUCUUUGUAAAGCAGCCCAGAGAUUAGAAAGAGUAGGAGGCCAGAACCACUCAGGCUGAGGGGACAAAAAGAAGGUGGCGAUCCUGGAUGCUGUGGCCUGGUCACUUGGCAGAAAUAGGAAUCAUGGUGGACCUACCUGGAGCGGCUGGAACAACAGCAGACUCAGCCACUGUUAAAGAUGCAACCUGAGAGCUGCCAGCUUCGAGUCUGCUGGUGUUCUUUUCUCCAUCCCUGGAUCUUCUGUGCAGUGAGCUCACUGGGGACAGGGAACCAUACUGGAAGGGUGAAGGGGUGGUUUCAGUUUUCCAGCCACUGAAGUCUUUGACUACAAUGGAUAAAUUCAAUUCAGAGGCACCGGCUACCACGUCACCUUCUCCUGAUGACACUGGGUCAUUUCUGGAGUUCCAGCACAGUGCUGGGCAGGAAGUGCUGUGGUUCCCACGUUUGUGCGCCUCCGCAUUGCAUGGCUUUAAGAGGAUAUCGGAUUUCUUUCUAUAGUCCUGGCACCUCCCUUGAAGCUCUCACCAUCAGCUAUUAGUUUUUUAUGUUUUGUUUUGCUUUUGCGGUACGUGGGCCUCUCACUGCUGUGGCCUCUCCCGUUGAGGAGCACAGGCUCCGGACACGCAGCCUC